rnacentral:rRNA from 1 species
UACGUAGGGUGCAAGCGUUACUCGGAAUUACUGGGCGUAAAGCGUGCGCAGGCGGCUUUGCAAGACAGAUGUGAAAUCCCCGGGCUUAACCUGGGAACUGCAUUUGUGACUGCAAGGCUGGAGUGCGGCAGAGGGGGAUGGAAUUCCGCGUGUAGCAGUGAAAUGCGUAGAUAUGUGGAGGAACACCGAUGGCGAAGGCAGCCCCCUGGGUUAACACUGACGCUCAGGCACGAAAGCGUGGGGAGCAAACAGG